rnacentral:rRNA from 1 species
UGGGGAAUAUUGCACAAUGGGCGCAAGCCUGAUGCAGCCAUGCCGCGUGUAUGACGAAGGCCUUCGGGUUGUAAAGUACUUUCAGCGGGGAGGAAGGUGUUGUGGUUAAUAACCACAGCAAUUGACGUUACCCGCAGAAGAAGCACCGGCUAACUCCGUGCCAGCAGCCGCGGUAAUACGGAGGGUGCAAGCGUUAAUCGGAAUUACUGGGCGUAAAGCGCACGCAGGCGGUCUGUCAAGUCGGAUGUGAAAUCCCCGGGCUCAACCUGGGAACUGCAUCCGAAACUGGCAGGCUUGAGUCUUGUAGAGGGGGGUAGAAUUCCAGGUGUAGCGGUGAAAUGCGUAGAGAUCUGGAGGAAUACCGGUGGCGAAGGCGGCCCCCUGGACAAAGACUGACGCUCAGGUGCGAAAGCGUGGGGAGCAAACA